rnacentral:lncRNA from 1 species
AAAAUUAUUCUUGUUUCCAUGAUUUAAAUCUUUCACCAUAAAACAUGGAUGUGUAUUCAUGAAAAGGAAUUUGUUAAAAAUAGAAGUGUUUGCAGUUGUCAUUCUACCUCCUAAGACAAUUAGUCUUGUAAUAGGGGUUAAACUCUUAUACCACUUGUUGGACAAGUGACUCAAAACACAAGAGGUGGUGGGAGUUUAUAAAAAACAAGAGGUGUGUG